GAUGGUUCGAUUAGUCUUUCGCCCCUAUACCCAGUUCAUACGAUCGAUUUGCACGUCAGAAUCGCUACGGACCUCCAUCAGGGUUUCCCCUGACUUCAUCCUGACCAGGCAUAGUUCACCAUCUUUCGGGUCCCAGCGUGUACGCUCUUGGUGCGCCGCAACUUGCAAUAAGUAUGCGACGCCCCGGGAAUGCGAGGUAACAUAAAUAACGUUACCCAUCUUCCCUUUAUAAAAUAUAUAAUUUAAAAAAUUAUAUAUAUAUAUAUUUACUUUCAUUACGCCUUUAGGUUUAUUAUAAAUACCCAAUGACUUGCGCACAUGCUAGAUG
rnacentral:rRNA from 1 species